CAGCUACUGCCAACUUCUACCUACGUUGCUUUCCGCCCCGAAUCGUUCUGCUCGGUCGGAGCGUUGCGCCUUUUUCCCCACUCCUAUCAACUUCCGGAAAAGACCCUUCUGCCCCUGCCGCAUUCCUUCCCUUUUCCCCUCGCACCGCCUUGCCGGAUAAUACCACCACGUCGAUCCUCCUUUCGUUUCCAAUCUCGCCUUCGAAAUCGUAGCUGCGGACUGGCUUCGAGGUUGGCCGCGAUCGAUGGAGACGCGGCGGCGCUCUUGAAUCAGAUCGGUGGGGAGGGUAGGCCAUGGGUGCCAGAGCGGCGGAGCCGAUCGAGGAGGUCGGGGAGAGCUCCUCGCCGCCGCGUGUGUCUGGAGGGCAGGCGGCGUACGACAUAAAGAAUGAAAUAUACAAGAGGCUCAUGGAGAGCGGAAACGAGGAGGUUCGGUCGAAUCCCCACUUCAAGGAAUUGUUCGAUGGGCACUUUAGCCGGUUGCCGCCCAGCUAUAAGCUGGACUUGAAUGUUGAUAGAGCCGAAGAUGUUUUGAUACAUCAAAAAAUUCUUGCAGAAGCCAAGGACCCAGAGAAGAGGCCUGUUUUCUAUGUCCGUUUCCAGAAGCUAGAGGAACAAAAUUUGGAUGCAAUAGAGAACAUUGAGGGCUCUGAUGAUGAAACUGAGUUUGGAGAUGCUUUUUCAUCAAGGCAUGGAAGUAGGUUUGCCAUGAUUCAUGAAAUUCUAUUUUCCACCCUUGACAAACCAAAGCUUCUUAGCCAGAUGUUUCAAGUUAAUACACUUGGUAUAUUGCUAAUUUUUGAAGUGCAUCAAAAGCUUUCUACAAUGUUGUCAGAUAUUGGACUCAAUAUCCGGGAGGCUCAUGUAUUUUCAACAACAGAUGGUUAUUCUUUGGAUGUAUUCGUUGUUGAUGGAUGGCAUGAAGAGGAUACAGAUGGUUUGCACAAAGAGAUUGAGUCAGUACUCAACAGAAAUGAGGGUUCCUGGUCUGGUUCAUCUCAUUCUUCAGCCUCAGAGAGGAUACUUGCUGUCGCAAAAGCUGGUGAGUGGGAAAUUGACAGAAGAUCAUUGAAAACAGGAGAGAAAAUUGCAUCUGGGUCUUGUGGAGAUCUGUAUCGUGGCAGUUAUUUAGGGCAGGAUGUUGCCAUUAAAAUUAUCAGAUCUAAUCUUCUCAAUGAUUCUCUGCUACAAGAGUUCCAGCAAGAAGUAUUUAUUCUAAAGAAUGUCCAACAUGAAAAUGUUGUUCGUUUUGUUGGUGCGUGCACAAAACCUCCACAACUUUGCAUUGUAACAGAGUACAUGCAAGGAGGAAACUUGUACGACUAUUUGCAUAAGCAGCAUAACAUCCUUGAACUUUCUAUGUUGCUGAAAAUUUCUAUUGAUGUCUGCAAGGGGAUGGAAUAUUUACAUAAUAACAACAUUGUUCAUAGAGACUUGAAGACAGCCAACCUACUCAUUGAUAGUAAUUUUGUUGUGAAAGUAGCAGAUUUUGGUGUUGCUCGGAUUCAGAAUCAGGGUGGCGUCAUGACAGCAGAAACUGGAACAUAUAGGUGGAUGGCCCCUGAGGUUAUAAAUCAUCUUCCAUAUGAUGAGAAAGCAGAUGUCUUUAGCUUUGGUAUUGUGCUUUGGGAGCUCACAACAUCGAAGAUCCCAUAUGAGAACAUGACACCUCUGCAAGCUGCCCUAGCAGUGAGACAGAGGCUUUCCUUAUCCGCUAUCACUAUCAGGGUCAUCGUCCUGAAAUCCCCGAGACCACGCAUCCUAGAUUGUCCGACUUAAUGAGGAGAUGCUGGGAGGGUAUUCCUACGGAAAGGCCUACAUUCUCAGAAAUAGUGGUUGAACUUGAAGAACUUCUCGAAUAGGUAAGCUCAGGCAUAGCAGUUGAUGAGCCACUGGAUUCAUUUGAUGCAGCAGGCGACAGAACGGCGAUUGUAAAUAUUUCUCAUCUCCUAGCCUUGUCUGAUUUUUAGAUGGAGCAAGGAGACUUGUGGUAGAAACUGUAAUUUUUUACGGGUUUGAUCUAGUUAUAGGUUGCUUGUCCAUGCCUUUCUACGUAUUUUUUGUCUCUAUUGAGAACCUCUGGUGCAAUUUAUGUUGUAUCAAUACAUUGAUUUGGAUCGACAAAAAUAGAAAUGCAGAUCAAUAGGGAAGAAAAAUCUACAUGGUUA